GAUGAACGCUGACAGAAUGCUUAACACAUGCAAGUCAACUGUGGCGGACGGGUGAGUAACGCGUAAAGAACUUGCCUCACAGAUAGGGCCAACAUUUGGAAACGAAUGCUAAUACCUGACACUGUGAGAUAGCUUUGCGUCCCAUUAGCUAGUUGUAGAGGUAACGGCUCACCAAGGCGAUGAUGGGUAGCCGGCCUGAGAGGGUGAUCGGCCAAAAGGGGACUGAGACACGGCCCUUACUCCUACGGGAGUAAGCAGUGGGGAAUAUUGGAAAAUGGACCAAAGUCUGAUCCAGAAAUUCUGUGUGCACGAUGAAGUUUUCGGAAUGUAAAGUGCUUUCAGUUGGGAAGCAGUACCAACAGAAGAAGUGACGGCUAAAUACGUGCCAGCAGCCGCGGUAAUAC
rnacentral:rRNA from 1 species